UACGGAGGGGGCUAGCGUUAUUCGGAAUUAUUGGGCGUAAAGGGCGCGUAGGCGGCCAUGCGUGUCUUCCGUGAAAUCCCUCGGCUUAACUGAGGACGUGCGGAAGAAACUGCAAGGCUCGAGUCCGGGAGAGGAGGGUGGAAUUCCCAGUGUAGCGGUGAAAUGCGUAGAUAUUGGGAGGAACACCGGUGGCGAAGGCGGCCCUCUGGACCGGUACUGACGCUGAUGCGCGAAAGCGUGGGUAGCAAACGGG
rnacentral:rRNA from 1 species